GAUGAACGCUGGCGGUAUGCUUAACACAUGCAAGUCGAACGGGGACUUUUCGGAGUCCUAGUGGCGGACGGGUGAGUAACGCGUGAGAACGUGCCUUUAGAUUGGGGACAACAGUUGGAAACGACUGCUAAUACCGAAUGUGCCUUUAGGGGUGAAAGAUUGAUUGUCUAGAGAUCGGCUCGCGUCAGAUUAGCUAGUUGGUGGGGUAACGGCUCACCAAGGCGACGAUCUGUACUUGGUCUGAGAGGAUGACCAGGCACACUGGAACUGAGACACGGUCCAGACUCCUACGGGAGGCAGCAGUGGGGAAUUUUCCGCAAUGGGGGCAACCCUGACGGAGCAAUACCGCGUGAGGGAGGACGGCUUUUGGGUUGUAAACCUCUUUUAUCAGGGAAGAAUCAAUGACGGUACCUGAUGAAUCAGCAUCGGCUAACUCCGUGCCAGCAGCCGCGGUAAUACGGAGGAUGCAAGCGUUAUCCGGAAUUAUUGGGCGUAAAGCGUCCGUAGGUGGCUUCUCAAGUCUGUUGUCAAAGCGUGCGGCUCAACCGCAUACGGGCGAUGGAAACUGAGGAGCUAGAGUGCGAUAGGGGUCACAGGAAUUCCCAGUGUAGCGGUGAAAUGCGUAGAUAUUGGGAAGAACACCAGCGGCGAAAGCGUGUGACUGGGUCUGCACUGACACUGAGGGACGAAAGCUAGGGGAGCGAAAGGGAUUAGAUACCCCUGUAGUCCUAGCCGUAAACGAUGACAACUAGGCGUGGUUCGUAUCGACCCGAGCCGUGCCGUAGCCAACGCGUUAAGUUGUCCGCCUGGGGAGUACGCACGCAAGUGUGAAACUCAAAGGAAUUGACGGGGGCCCGCACAAGCGGUGGAGUAUGUGGUUUAAUUCGAUGCAACGCGAAGAACCUUACCAAGGCUUGACAUCCUCGGAACCCUGAUGAAAGUUAGGGGUGCCUUCGGGAACCGAGAGACAGGUGGUGCAUGGCUGUCGUCAGCUCGUGUCGUGAGAUGUUGGGUUAAGUCCCGCAACGAGCGCAACCCACGUUUUUAGUUGCCAGCAUUGAGUUGGGCACUCUAGAGAGACUGCCGGUGACAAACCGGAGGAAGGUGUGGAUGACGUCAAGUCAGCAUGCCCCAUACGCCUUGGGCUACACACGUACUACAAUGCACUGGACAGAGAGCUGCAAGUCAGCGAUGGCAAGCCAAUCUCGCAAACCAGUGCUCAGUUCAGAUUGCAGGCUGCAACUCGCCUGCAUGAAGGCGGAAUCGCUAGUAAUCGCAGGUCAGCAUACUGCGGUGAAUACGUUCCCGGGCCUUGUACACACCGCCCGUCACACCAUGGGAGUUGGUCACGCCCGAAGUCGUUACUCUAACCGUUCGCGGAGGAGGAUGCCGAAGGUGGGGCUGAUGACUGGGGUGAA
rnacentral:rRNA from 1 species